rnacentral:rRNA from 1 species
ACGGGAGGCAGCAGUGGGGAAUAUUGCACAAUGGGCGCAAGCCUGAUGCAGCCAUGCCGCGUGUAUGAAGAAGGCCUUCGGGUUGUAAAGUACUUUCAGCAGUGAGGAAGGUGGAUAUGUUAAUAGCAUAUUCAUUUGACGUUAGCUGCAGAAGAAGCACCGGCUAACUCCGUGCCAGCAGCCGCGGUAAUACGGAGGGUGCGAGCGUUAAUCGGAAUUACUGGGACGUAAAGCGCAUGCAGGUGGUUUGUUAAGUCAGAUGUAGAAACGCCCGGGGCUCAACCUACGGAAUUGCUAUUUAGAAACUGGACAAACUAGAGUACUGUAGAGGGGGUAGAAUUUCAGGUGUAGCGGUGAAAUGCGUAGAGAUCUGAAGGAAUACCGGUGGCGAAGGCGGCCCCCUGGACAGAUACUGACACUCAGAUGCGAAAGCGUGGGGAGCAAACAGGAUUAGAUACCCUGGUAG